AGCGUUAACUUGACUCGCAUUGACUCUCGUCGGUCUAUAUCCGUGUGUCUCUCUCCACUCGCUCCCCUCCCCCAUCUUUCCGUGUGUUUAUGUGUAUGUGUGUUUAUGAGAGUGUUAAAGACAAUGGUCGUGAUUUGUGUGUUUGCAGCAUGCUUUCUUUCCUUCUUUCUUUUUCCAUAUUGGCUUUACAGAUAAUGCGCAGGGUUUGUUUCUUCAACUGCUGCAAUGGUUAAAUCGUCCCAAAUUGAAAGGUAUUUAAACCACGAAGAUCGAAUUUCAUCAAGCGAGAUCGCAAGUUAGAAUUAGGUCUGUAGGCCAGAUGUGGAAAAUGCAAAAGCGGCAGACAGCGAAGCCACACUCCCUUCCCUCUCCCACAUUGGCAUGCAAUAAAAUAUUUUGAGAUUGGCCUUGGGCGCUAAACAAAUUCCCCCUUCUCUGGCUAUUCCCAAUUAGUAAUAGUUUUUUUUCCACAAUUCAAAGUGAGAGCCAUUUACAGAAGAUCGAAACUCUUCGCGUUUUAUCACUGUUUGAAAUGACAUAAUUUUCCUCUGUGGUGAAAUGAGACACAGCCUCGAGUAGACGAAUCCAUAUUUACAGUUGGGAUGUUAUUCGCGUCAAUAUGGAUCGUUUUCAGCCUACUGCCAGAAUCGAAUGGACUCUUUUUGAACGUGUGAGUGUGUGAAUGCGCACGCAGGCGAAUGUGCUCCUGGAAGGAAGGGAGGCAGCAAUGAUGACAUUCUAAACCGGAUUGCAGUUCUAAGGAGAAAUGUUCUGCAUGUUGAGAGAUAGCAAGAUCCCUGAGCUCUCCAAGUCUAACUUGGGUUAGAGGAAAAGCUUCUAUAAUGGUACACAGGAUACCUCCAUCUGUCACUGCACUCCUUGCCACCGAAGUACCAGACGCUAUUUGUGUGUGAGAGACAAGGCACUGACUUAAAGUAUGGGGGGUGAGGGGAACCAAGGAAACAGCUUAAUAAGCAUUUUCUUCCCAAAGUUUUCACUCGUGGCAAAAUCAGACCACCUUUUCUCGUUUACAUUUGGUGAUCCUGCAAGAAAUAAUCUUUCGCUUAUGAAGAAGAUCAUCUACUGAAGUUGAACUGGAGCACCUGGCUUCUCCCUCUCAACGAUGAAGAAAUAGGCACGGGAGAGUUGCCAGAUUCUCAGACGGCAGAGCCACGAAUAGAGGUCAGGCCCCUUGAUGACUGAGUCCUGGCUUUUUCUACCACUGCUGGUGCUGCUAUUUUCCCUUGAUGGCACAGAUUCACUCAGUAGGUCAGUCAUUCAUUCCUAAAGUAUUUAUUAAGGUCCUCCUAAGUACGAGGGAAAAGACUUUAGACAUCAGCUUACACCAGGGACAAAUAUGGACAUGGUCUUUC
rnacentral:lncRNA from 1 species